rnacentral:rRNA from 1 species
GACGAACCGUGCGAACGUUGUUCGGAAUCACUGGGCUUAAAGGGCGCGUAGGCGGGCUUGCAAGUCAGGGGUGAAAUCCCACGGCUCAACCGUGGAAGUGCCUUUGAUACUGUGAGUCUCGAGGGAGGUAGGGGCGUGCGGAACUUCCGGUGGAGCGGUGAAAUGCGUAGAUAUCGGAAGGAACACCGGUGGCGAAAGCGGCGCGCUGGACCUCUACUGACGCUGAGGCGCGAAAGCCAGGGGAGCAAAC